rnacentral:rRNA from 1 species
GCCUUAGGAGAGGAUAACAGCUGGAAACGGUUGCUAAUACUCUAUAUGCCGAGAGGUAAAAGGAUUUAUCCACCUUAGGAAGAGCUCGCGUCUGAUUAGCUUGUUGGUGAGGUAAUGGCUCACCAAGGCGACGAUCAGUAGCUGGCUUGAGAGGACGACCAGCCACACUGGGACUGAGACACGGCCCAGACUCCUACGGGAGGCAGCAGUGGGGAAUUUUCCGCAAUGGGCGAAAGCCUGACGGAGCAAUACCGCGUGAGGGAUGAAAGCCUGUGGGUUGUAAACCUCUUUUCUCAAGGAAGAAUUUUUGACGGUACUUGAGGAAUAAGCAUCGGCUAACUCUGUGCCAGCAGCCGCGGUAAUACAGAGGAUGCAAGCGUUAUCCGGAAUCACUGGGCAUAAAGCGUCUGUAGGUUGCGAAUCAAGUCUGUUGUUAAAGAUCAGGGCCUAACCCUGAGAAAGCAAUGGAAACUAAUACGCUUGAGUGUGGUAGAGGUAGAGGGAAUUCUUAGUGUAGCGGUGAAAUGCGUAGAUAUUGGGAAGAACACCAAUGGCGAAAGCACUCUACUGGGCCAUAACUGACACUGAGAGACGACAGCUAGGGGAGC